AAACGGUUCACUUUUAACAGUUCCGCGGAAGAGGCACCAGUGGCCCUCGAUUGUGCGCGUCUCGUGAUUAAAUUCUAGUUAGCGAGAUUAGUAGUUCGAACUAGUGCCGUGUCGUGUGCGUGUGUGAAAUUCUGCCGUGCAUGUGCGUUCCAGAAAUCCUGCUCUGCAUCCACCGCCACGCUCGUCACAGACGGCCCGAACUACCGGGGACCAGCUACCGCUUCGAUCCGGCCGCAACGCCCACGCCGCCGAAGGCCAGCGCUCGCCAAACUGCGCUAGGCAGCGGAACUGUACGGCCACGCCGUAACAGGACAGCAGCAACAGUCACCGCAGCGUCCUUGAAGUAACCGCCAUCGCGAUCUGCAUCCGCCAUCGCGAUCGCCAACCGCCAUCAACCUAACCUGGAAGGUUAGAAACCACGUGA